rnacentral:rRNA from 1 species
CCUACGGGUGGCUGCAGUGAGGAAUAUUGGUCAAUGGGCGCGAGCCUGAACCAGCCAAGUAGCGUGAAGGAUGACUGCCCUACGGGUUGUAAACUUCGGUUAUAAAGGAAUAAAGUGAGGCACGUGUGCCUUUUUGUAUGUACGUUAUGAAUAAGGAGCGGCUAACUCCGUGCCAGCAGCCGCGGUAAUACGGAGGAGCCGAGCGUUAUCCGGAGUUAUUGGGUGUAAAGGGAGCGUAGAUGGGUUGUUAAGUCAGUUGUGAAAGUUUGCGGCUCCACCGUAAAAUUGCCAUUGAUACUGGCAGUCUUGCGUACAGUUGAGGUCGGCGGACUUCGUGUUGUAGCGG